rnacentral:rRNA from 1 species
AUGGAGGCGCAGUGGCUCGCCGAGUACCCGCACCAGGCCGCCGACAACCGGCCGCGCAAGCGCCCCCGCCUCGCAUGGGAUGCCGCGCCGCAGCUCUUCCCGCCCCCCAAGGCAAUCCCGAUGCUAUAUUGUGGGCAGGAACUAAUCAACGGCAAUUUCACUACUGCUUUCCUGCCGCCACCACCAAUUUAUUAUGCUGGACCACCGCGGAAUCUUUCGCCCCCUUGGAGGCCGGAUGACAAGGAUGGACACUAUGUUUUCACACUCGGCGAGAACCUUACACCAAGAUAUAGGAUACUCAGCAAGAUGGGCGAAGGGACCUUUGGACAAGUUCUGGAAUGCUGGGACUUGGAAAACCAAGAAUCAGUAGCUAUCAAGAUUGUGCGUUCCCUGCAGAAAUACCGGGAGGCUGCUAUGAUUGAAAUUGAUGUGCUUCAGAGACUUGGGAAGCAUGAUUUUACUGGUAGUCGUUGUGUGCAAAUACGGAAUUGGUUUGACUAUCGUAAUCAUAUAUGUAUAGUAUUUGAGAAGCUUGGACCAAGCUUAUACGACUUCCUACGGAAGAAUAACUACCGUUCAUUUGCUAUUGAUCUUGUUCGGGAGUUUGCCAGACAAAUAUUAGAGUCUGUUACAUUUAUGCAUGACCUGCGGCUUAUUCACACAGAUCUUAAGCCAGAGAACAUUCUCCUUGUUUCACCUGAUACAAUCAGGGUUCAUGAUUAUAAGAUUCCUAUACGCCCACCCAAGGAUGGGUCUGUUUUCAAGAACCUUCCAAAAUCGAGUGCUAUCAAGCUUAUCGAUUUUGGAAGUACAACAUUCGAUCAUCAAGAUCACAAUUAUGUCGUGUCAACAAGACAUUACCGUGCCCCAGAAGUUAUCCUUGGUCUUGGGUGGAAUUAUCCAUGCGAUCUUUGGAGUGUGGGAUGCAUUUUGGUUGAGCUCUGCUCGGAGGAGGCUUUAUUUCAAACACAUGAAAAUUUGGAGCAUCUUGCUAUGAUGGAGAAGGUUCUAGGCCCCCUUCCCAAACACAUGAUUGCCAGAGCUGAUAGACGAGCUGAGAAAUACUUCAGGCGUGGACUAAGGCUUGACUGGCCAGAGGGGGCAGCCUCACGAGAAAGCAUGAAGGCAGUAUGGAAAUUGCCUCGUCUGCAGAAUCUGGUCAUGCAACAUGUCGAUCAUUCUGCUGGGGAUCUAAUAGAUCUUCUUCAGGGGCUUCUUCGGUAUGAUCCUGAUGAGCGUCUUAAGGCACGACAAGCUCUUCAACACCCUUUCUUUACCAGAUGCCACAGAAGAUGUGGUUACUGA